rnacentral:tRNA from 1 species
GUGGCCGUAGCCCAGUUGGUUAGAGCGCCAGAUUGUGGCUCUGGAAGUCGCGGGUUCAACUCCCGUCGGUCACCCCA